rnacentral:ncRNA from 1 species
UGGGUGAAGAAGGGCACUGUCGCUUAACAAGCUCUUUCGUGAGUUUAGAUCAUGAGAGGACUAGAGGAAGAAGCCACUGAGAUAGGGGAGAGUGGAAUUUCGUGUGGAGGGAUCAAAUCCUAAGAUAUAAGAAGGAACACCAACCGCGAAGACAGCUCUUUGGGUCCCCACUGACGUUGGGGUGAGAAAGCAUGGAGAGAAAACAUGAUCAGAUACCAGGGUAGUCCAUUCCGUAAGCGUGUUCGUCCUUGGUCUGCCUGCUUACUAAGUAGGAUUAGGAUCAGGGGGCAGCUAACACGUGAAACACUCCACC